UCGCAGGCUUCUUAGAGGGACUUUCCGCGUUUAGCGGAAGGAAGUUUGAGGCAAUAACAGGUCUGUGAUGCCCUUAGACGUCUUGGGCCGCACGCGCGCUACACUGACAGAGCCAGCGAGUUCUCUUCCUUGGCCGAAAGGUCUG
rnacentral:rRNA from 1 species